rnacentral:tRNA from 1 species
GGGGGUGUAGCUCAGUUGGUUAGAGCGAUNGCCUGUCACGCGAUAGGUCGAGGGUUCGAGUCCCUUCACUCCCGCCA